AUAUAUUAUAUUAUAUUAAGAAUUUAAUAUCCCGAAGCCAUGCGAGCUAAAAAAAGAAUUAUAAUAGUAAUUUAAUUAAAUGUAGCAUUAUUUAGCUAAUAUUAUUUUUUAGGGGUGAUAGGCCUUUCAAGCUAGGCGAUAUCUGGAUAUCUAGGAAAAAUAUUUAGUAUAUUUCUAAUUUAGAAAUGCUAAGGUUUCUAAAAAAUAUUAUUAAUAUUUAAAUAUUUAUUUUAAUGGCUAAAUUCUUAAACUUUAAUAAAAUUAACAUAAUAUAUAUUAAGAAUAUAUUUAUUACUAGUUUAUUUUUAAAAAUUUCUACAAAAAUUGAAAUUGUAUAUAUUAGUAUAUUAAUAAUGUUUUUGGAAGGAACUCGACAAAAAUAUUUCUGGACUGUUUAUCAAAAACAUAGCCCUAAGAAUCUAUUUUGGGUGAUACCUGCUCAAUGAAUUUUUAAAUAGCCGCAGUACCUUGACUGUGCAAAGGUAGCAUAAUCAGUUGGCUUAUAAUUGAAGUCUGGCAUGAAUGGAUUUACUGGAAAAAAUUGUCUACUAAAAAUAAAUUGAAGUUACUUAAUAAGUGAAAAUUCUUAUAGAUAUAUAAAAGACGAGAAGACCCUAGAAAUUUUUUAUAAAAUUAUAUAUAAAUAUUUUGUUGGGGCGACAAGGUAACAAAUAACCUACCUAUUUUCUUUUUGAAUCUUAUUUGAAGAUUAAUUAAAUUACUCUAGGGAUAACAGCAUUAUUUAAUAAAAAGUUUGUGACCUCGAUGUUGGACUAGGAAAAUUUUUAUUUAGAAGAUAAAAAUAUAGGCUCUGUUCGAGCUUCUUUUCCUACAUGAUCUGAGUUCAGACCGG
rnacentral:rRNA from 1 species